GACGAACGCUGGCGGCGUGCCUAAUACAUGCAAGUCGAGCGGAAUGAUGAAGAAGCUUGCUUCUUCUGAUUUUAGCGGCGGACGGGUGAGUAACACGUGGGCAACCUACCUUGUAGAUUGGGAUAACUCCGGGAAACCGGGGCUAAUACCGAAUAAUCCAUUUCGCUUCAUGGCUGAAUGUUAAAAGGCGGCUUUUAGCUGUCACUGCAAGAUGGGCCCGCGGCGCAUUAGCUAGUUGGUAGGGUAACGGCCUACCAAGGCGACGAUGCGUAGCCGACCUGAGAGGGUGAUCGGCCACACUGGGACUGAGACACGGCCCAGACUCCUACGGGAGGCAGCAGUAGGGAAUCUUCAACAAUGGACGAAAGUCUGAUGGAGCAACGCCGCGUGAGUGAAGAAGGUUUUCGGAUCGUAAAACUCUGUUGUAAGGGAAGAACACGUACGAGAGUAACUGCUCGUACCUUGACGGUACCUUAUUAGAAAGCCACGGCUAACUACGUGCCAGCCGCCGCGGUAAUAC
rnacentral:rRNA from 1 species